UCUCCCUACGCAGCUUUCUUCUCUCCUUCCUUCUUACCUCCAGAUCGCAUCUCCCUUCUCUUCUCCUAUGGCUAUCCGCGCUGAAGCCUACACCUCGCCGGUCGCCUUGACCCUGGCGCGUCCGCGCUGCUGCCUGCAAGUAGGCGGCCGCCUCGACCCCGUCGCGUCCGCACUGCCGCCUGCACCUCACCGGUCGCGUCGACCCAUCCACGCUGCUGCCUACAAGUCGCCGGUCGCCUCGACACAUGGCGUCCGCGCUGCAGCCUGCACCUUGCCGGUCGCCUCCACCCCUACGCGUCCGCGCUACUGCCUGCAAGUCGCCGGUCGCCUCGACCCCAUCACGUCUGCACUGCUGCCUGCACAUGGCCGGUUGCCUGGCCCCAGUGCGCCCGAGCUACCGCCUGCAUAUCUCCAUUCGCCAACGCUACAUUGCAAGUGAAACUUGUACUUGAAGAAAAGUCCAACGGCGUGGUACAAGAAGUGUCAGAAAUUAAGUGGCCUAUGUUUGGUACAUCUCUAAGUGAUAGUUCUCAUGAAAGCCAGCAUGAACAAGACUGAUGGUCCAUCGUAAAUAUUUAGAAGCAUUCGAAGGAAUUGUAACCGCCAAUGAAGAAUGAUAUCCAUUCAAGCAACACGAUGGUGUCCCUCG